AUUCGGCGUCGAGCGGCGGCCGGGUAGUAAUGUUUGGGAAAUUGCCUUUUGUGGGGGAAAAGUUUGGAACGACUGCUAAACCGCAUAACGUUACGGACAAAGCGGGGGACCUUCGGAGCCUCGUGCCAAAAGAUUAGCCCAAGUGAGAUUAGCUAGUCGGUGGGGUAACGGCCUACCAAGGCGACGAUCUCUAGCUGGUUUGAGAGGAUGAUCAGCCACACUGGGACUUGAACACGGCCCAGACUCCUACGGGAGGCAGCAGUGGGGAAUACCGCACAAUGGGGGAAACCCUGAUGCAGCCAUGCCGCGUGUGUGAAGAAGGCCUUCGGGUUGUAAAGCACUUUUCAGUCGUGAGGAAAGGGGUGUAGCUAAUAUCUGCAUCCUGUGACGUUAGCGACAGAAGAAGCACCGGCUAACUUCCGUGCCAGCAGCCGCGGUAAUACGGAGGGUGCGAGCGUUAAUCGGAAUUUACUGGGCGUAAAGCGUGCGUAGGCGGUUUUGAUAGGCCAGAUGUGAAAUCCCGGGGCUUAACCUCGGAACUGCAUUUGGAACUGUUUGACUAGAGUACUGUAGAGGGUGGUGGAAUUCUCCAGUGUAGCGGUGAAAUGCGUAGAGAUUGGAAGGAACAUCAGUGGCGAAGGCGGCCACCUGGACAGAUACUGACGCUGAG
rnacentral:rRNA from 1 species